AACGCGAAGAACCUUACCUACGCUUGACAUCCUUGGAACUUUACAGAGAUGUAGAGGUGCCUUCGGGAGCCAAGAGACAGGUGCUGCAUGGCUGUCGUCAGCUCGUGUCGUGAGAUGUUGGGUUAAGUCCCGUAACGAGCGCAACCCCUGUUGCUAGUUGCCAUCAUUAAGUUGGGCACUCUAGUGAGACUGCCGGUGAUAAACCGGAGGAAGGUGGGGAUGACGUCAAGUCAUCAUGGCCUUUAUGCGUAGGGCUACACACGUGCUACAAUGGUCGGUACAGAGGGUCGCGAAGCCGCGAGGUGGAGCUAAUCUCACAAAGCCGAUCGUAGUCCGGAUUGGAGUCUGCAACUCGACUCCAUGAAGUUGGAAUCGCUAGUAAUCGUGGAUCAGAACGCCACGGUGAAUACGUUCCCGGGCCUUGUACACACCGACGCAC
rnacentral:rRNA from 1 species